AGGAACUGCAUGGUAGAAAACCAGCCAAGAAGGCAUCCACGCUGAAAAGAGGACAAACCAUGAGCAACACGAAUCAUGCUGGGAGUAAAGAGAAAGUGUGUGGGAGAGCCCUGGGAGAAAGAGUUUGCUGGGAACGUGAUCCAGGAAGUAAUAAAGGGAGCACAAGAAGUUGGAGGAUGAGGUUAAGGACAGAGAAGCUGUAAAUAACUGCUGAAGUCUUCAAGGGAUGAAGAAAAAAUGAAGAACAGAAUAAAUUUCUCCUUAGUGCAAAGUGAGAUUCACCGAAUUCGAUGUUGCUAUGGUGAUUUAGACCACCUGAGGACCCAGGUUCAACUGUUUAAGGCAAUGCAUAUAAUUAUUCUUUUUAUUUUCACAAAUAGUUAUUUCAGCCUCUUGCUUAUAUAUAAUGUGUUUUAUAAUUCAGAACUCUGCCACAGUUCAACAGCUGGCUGAGGUAUUUGCAAUAGCAAAUGCAGUAGCAGCCUUGACUGGAAAGGUGCAAAUAAGAAGUGUGUUAUGAAACAAAGGCCCUUUACAACUUAAAUGGCAUCUGAAAAAAAUGUGGUAAUUUAACAGGUAAGUAUAAAAGAGGAGAGAAGUAAAAUGCAGUCUUUAGAAGAUUGGUUUCAUUUGAAAAUUAAAGGACAGUAACAAAGGAUCGAGAGUUUUGUUAUCCAGCAUAGACAGCAGGGAUCCAAGAAUCCAGCAUUACUAGAAACUUCUACAACUUCUGAUAAGUUAUUUAAACCCCUGUGCUUCUGUUUCACAACUUGCAUAAUUGCUGGAACUAAACUUACCCGAAAGAUGCAUUUUGAGACUUCAGUAAUAAUUCCUAAGUGCUUUCAAAAGCACUACAUCAUGUAAGUGAAGAAUGUCAUUAUUAAAAUUGUGCUUCAGAAAUCAUCACUAACAAGGGUUUGUUCUACAGCUAGAACUGCACCAAAGACAUUAUUAGCUUGCAAAUCACAAAGCUCCCAUUGACUCAGGAGAGCAGCAGGGACAGAGCUGUGC